rnacentral:lncRNA from 1 species
CGCGUGCGCUGCCGUAUGGGACCUUAAAGCUAUGGGGACGGCUGUAGGAGAACCCGAAGCCGGGGACGCUGAGACAUGCAGGCAGGAGGGAAACGUCGGGCGUCGCGUGGGGGUCCCCGAGGAGCGGCCAUUUGGGAAGGGAUGGAACCGAAGGGUUAUCUACAAACUGCAGGUGCUGAAGCCGGGAGCAUCCUCAGGAAGGGCGCGCUGUCGGUGGAACGGAGCGGAACGCGCCCGGCUUCCCCCCACCUCGAGCUGGAACGGAAGGAAGGAGGGAGGCAGGAAGGAAGGAAAGUCUGUCCCAGACGGACACACGGGUUCAAUCCAUUUGGAUUUUGCUUUGUUUUAAUCUUUGCGGAAGGAGGCACAUGCAAAGAUGGUUCUGUUCCUGCACUGGAGGCUCACGCCGUGCCGCUCGGGUGCACCGGCGCUCAGCAUUUCAGGCUGUUCCUUUCAGCAUUUCCAAUCCCUCUGUUGGGAACGCGCAGCAGCAGCAGAGCACCGAGGCUGCUGGGCAAGGAGGGCUGUGAAAGCAAGUCCUGCCCGUCCUAUGCACAAUGACUUUUAUUUUUUGGCUUUUCAACGCAAAACUGUCCUUUCUUCCUUCUUACGGUCCCGCAACGAGGACAGGAAUGGAGCUGUCAGGCCAAAGGGGUGAGAGGCAAAAAGAAGGCAUCGUGUUUGUGUCGAGCAAAGCUUACGGUCACAGCUUGCAGUGCUGAAGGUUUGUUCAGGUAUUGCUCUUGUUUUCCUUCCUCCGAGCACGGGAAUUGUCAGUGCAAUGAGCUGACAGCCUCCUGCUGCGAGGUUGGCUCUAGGAAAGCACCGGGACUCGCCCUACGUCCUUGGCCUGGGCUGCAGCAUGGAGCACAGUAACAGGUCCUACAGCGGGGCGCUGCUCCCCUGCUUGUAAACACGAUUUGCUUCACCGGGGCGUGCUGGAGGUUGGCUUGGGCUGCAUUGUUUGUUGUUCCCUAAUUCACAGUUUGAAUGCCUGCGCGACAGAUUUCAGAGGGAGAGGGAGAGCCAUGGGGGGAGGGGAGCGGUGGCGGUGCGCUUGGGCCACAUUAUCUCUUUGCUCGCACAAAGUACAAGGCAUUUGUUUUGGGAUAGUACUUCACGUUCUGUUUCUUGUCCAUCAGGCCACCGAAGAUGAUGAGCUCCCCUCUGCC